AGAGUUUGAUCCUGGCUCAGAUUGAACGCUGGCGGCGUGCUUAACACAUGCAAGUCGUGCGAGAAAGGGGACUUCGGUCCCUGAGUAGAGCGGCGCACGGGUGAGUAACGCGUGGAUUAUCUACCCAGAUAUUCGGGAUAACGGCGGGAAACUGCCGCUAAUACCGGAUACGCUCCAAUUUCGGUUGGGGGAAAGGCGGCCUCUGCUUGCAAGCUGUCGUAUCUGGAUGAGUCCGCGUCCCAUUAGCUUGUUGGUGGGGUAAUGGCCUACCAAGGCGACGAUGGGUAGCUGGUCUGAGAGGAUGAUCAGCCACACUGGAACUGAAACACGGUCCAGACUCCUACGGGAGGCAGCAGUGGGGAAUAUUGCGCAAUGGGGGAAACCCUGACGCAGCGACGCCGUGUGAGGGAAGAAGGCUUU
rnacentral:rRNA from 1 species